UGGGAACGCCACUUGUCGGGUUGCUCCUGGGCAGUUCCCUACCGGGUCUAUAAGCAAUGCAACUCUUCCGGCCACCGGCAUGUUCCUCGGAUGAGUGAAAACUUCCUUAUGGACCAAGCCAGCAAGUAGACUCACCUUUGGGAGCCACCAUCUUGAUCCACCUUGCAGUGUCAGCACCUCGGAGAGCGGCUUACCUCACAUGCAACCCUGUAAUGCUUGUGUGGUAAAGAAGCAAACUAGAUUUUCAUCCUGUGGAAGAGGCCAUGUGAGGACAGAGUGGGAAGGUCACCAUAUACAGGCCUGGGUGAGAGGCUUCGACAGAAAUCUCCCCAGAUGGCACCAUGGUCUUGGACUUCUACCUUCCUUAAGGAAAUAAAUCUGUUGUUUGAGCCACCCAAUCUGUGGUAUUUUGUUACAGCAGCCCUAGCUGACUAAUAGACUGCGAGACCUGCCUUCCUGUGAGUUUCCAUCUUCAGGUGGUCAAAGAAGGCCCCAAGGCUCCAGGGCUGCAC